rnacentral:rRNA from 1 species
AUUGAACGCUGGCGGCAGGCCUAACACAUGCAAGUCGAAUGGUAACAGGAAACAGCUUGCUGUUUCGCUGACGAGUGGCGGACGGGUGAGUAAUGUCUGGGAAACUGCCUGAUGGAGGGGGAUAACUACUGGAAACGGUAGCUAAUACCGCAUAACGUCGCAAGACCAAAGAGGGGGACCUUCGGGCCUCUUGCCAUCAGAUGUGCCCAGAUGGGAUUAGCUAGUAGGUGGGGUAACGGCUCACCUAGGCGACGAUCCCUAGCUGGUCUGAGAGGAUGACCAGCCACACUGGAACUGAGACACGGCCCAGACUCCUACGGGAGGCAGCAGUGGGGAAUAUUGCACAAUGGGCGCAAGCCUGAUGCAGCCAUGCCGCGUGUAUGAAGAAGGCCUUCGGGCUGUAAAGUACUUUCAGCGGGGAGGAAGGGAGUAAAGUUAAUACCUUUGCUCAUUGACGUUACCCGCAGAAGAAGCACCGGCUAACUCCGUG